UUCACACUGCGUGCAUGCGAAAUCUGCAGCGCUAGGGCCCAGCUGAGACACAGAGAUGAUGUCUGUUGCUGUAGCUUAGACUUCCAGUUUUAUUCCAACCUUGGCCCAGCGUGCUGCUUUCUUGCCUGUCACGUCUUCUGCCUGCUAGAAAGCCCUUGUGAGGAAUGUUCGGGAGAAGAAGCAGCUUGAGAGAUGCUCUGCAGACUGAGCAGAAUUAAUGCUGCCCCGAUUUACUUGUUCCCAUAUCAAGAUGUCUGUGUGGCUGGCAGUCACCAGGGCUCUGCGUGUUCCUGGAGAGAGCUGGGCUGCGCUGCUCCGACACUUCUUUCCAGCAGACCAUGGAAUGUCAAGUGGACGUUAUCAUUAGUUUGGACCUAGUCCUGAGGCAAAUUAAAUGUUUGACUCUUUAUUGAAGAAUCCCCUUCCUCUAAAUGAUGAGAUAAAUUCAAUUUAUUUUGUUUCUAACACAAAAUGUUGCAAGAGGCUUAUUGCAUAUUGCAGUGGUAGUGACUGAAAAA
rnacentral:lncRNA from 1 species